rnacentral:rRNA from 1 species
GACGAACGCUGGCGGCGUGCCUAAUACAUGCAAGUAGAACGCUGAAGGAGGAGCUUGCUCUUCUGGAUGAGUUGCGAACGGGUGAGUAACGCGUAGGUAACCUGCCUGGUAGCGGGGGAUAACUAUUGGAAACGAUAGCUAAUACCGCAUAACAGUAGAUGUUGCAUGACAUUUGCUUAAAAGGUGCAAUUGCACCACUACCAGAUGGACUUGCGUUGUAUUAGCUAGUUGGUGGGGUAACGGCUCACCAAGGCGACGAUACAUAGCCGACCUGAGAGGGUGAUCGGCCAAACUGGGAAUGGGACACGGCCCAGACUCCUACGGGAGGCAGCAGUAGGGAAUCUUCGGCAAUGGACGGAAGUCUGACCGAGCAACGCCGCGUGAGUGAAGAAGGUUUUCGGAUCGUAAAGCUCUGUUGUAAGAGAAGAACGAGUGUGAGAGUGGAAAGUUCACACUGUGACGGUAUCUUACCAGAAAGGGACGGCUAACUACGUG